rnacentral:rRNA from 1 species
CAGUAGCCGCGGGAAUACGUAGGGUGCAAGCGUUAAUCGGAAUUACUGGGCGUAAAGGGCGCGUAGGUGGUUAUUUAAGUGAGAUGUGAAAGCCCCGGGCUUAACCUGGGAACUGCAUCUUAUACUGGGUAACUGGAGUGCAGUAGAGGGUAGUGGAAUUUCCGGUGUAGCGGUGAAAUGCGUAGAUAUCGGAAGGAACACCAGUGGCGAAGGCGGCUACCUGGACUGAGACUGACACUGAGGCGCGAGAGCGUGGGGAGCAAACAGGAUUAGAGACCCGCGUAGUCCCUGUCUCUUAUAC